rnacentral:tRNA from 1 species
AUUGUUCUAGUAGUUGAGUACAACAGUGGUUUUUCAAGUCGCAGGUUUUGGUGGAAGGCCAAAUUAGAAUA